rnacentral:rRNA from 1 species
AGUGAACGCUGGCGGUAGGCCUAACACAUGCAAGUCGAACGGCAGCACAGUAAGAGCUUGCUCUUACGGGUGGCGAGUGGCGGACGGGUGAGGAAUACAUCGGAAUCUACUUUUUCGUGGGGGAUAACGUAGGGAAACUUACGCUAAUACCGCAUACGACCUACGGGUGAAAGCAGGGGAUCUUCGGACCUUGCGCGAUUGAAUGAGCCGAUGUCGGAUUAGCUAGUUGGCGGGGUAAAGGCCCACCAAGGCGACGAUCCGUAGCUGGUCUGAGAGGAUGAUCAGCCACACUGGAACUGAGACACGGUCCAGACUCCUACGGGAGGCAGCAGUGGGGAACAUUAGACAAUGGGCGCAAGCCUGAUCCAGCCAUACCGCGUGGGUGAAGAAGGCCUUCGGGUUGUAAAGCCCUUUUGUUGGGAAAGAAAAGCAGCAGGUUAAUACCCCGCUGUUCUGACGGUACCCAAAGAAUAAGCACCGGCUAACUUCGUG